rnacentral:rRNA from 1 species
AUACGGAGGAUCCGAGCGUUAUCCGGAUUUAUUGGGUUCAAAGGGUGCGCAGGCGGGAGAUUAAGUCGGCGGUGAAAUUUUGCAGCUCAACUGUAAAAGUGCCUUCGAAACUGGUUUCCUUGAGUGUAGAUGAAGUAGGCGGAAUUUGUGGUGUAGCGGUGAAAUGCAUAGAUAUCACGAGGAACUCCGAUUGCGCAGGCAGCUUACUAAACUACUACUGACGCUCAGGCACGAAGGCGUGGGGAUCAAACAGGAUUAGAUACCCUGGUAGUCCACGCAGUAAACGAUGAUUACUAGCUGUUUGCGAUACAAUGUAAGCGGCUGAGCGAAAGCGUUAAGUAAUCCACCUGGGGAGUACGUUCGCAAGAAUGAAACUUAAAGGAAUUGGCGGGG